rnacentral:rRNA from 1 species
CGGGUGCAAACGUUGUUCGGAAUUACUGGGCGUAAAGCGCGUGUAGGCGGCUAAGUAAGUCGGGCGUGAAAUCCCACGGCUCAACCGUGGAAGUGCACUCGAAACUGCGUAGCUAGAGUCCUGGAGAGGAAGGUGGAAUGCUUGGUGUAGAGGUGAAAUUCGUAGAUAUCAAGCGGAACACCGGUGGCGAAGGCGGCCUUCGGGACAGUGACUGACGCUGAGACGCGAAAGCGUGGGGAGCAAACAGG